rnacentral:lncRNA from 1 species
GGAAAGAAGUAGGUUGCAUGCAGUAAGAGUAGUGUUCAGCAACAAGGUCACAGCAGUUAGAUCACCAGUGAGAUAGAAGUCCACACUAAGGUAAUUCUUGUGAAUUCUUUUAUAUGCUCGAAGCAGAACAAGGAUAUUGAAGUGUCCUAUCUGGAGGAUUCUCUCCGUGGCACAGCACUCAUAAAUGAAAGCUCUCUGAUCUCAGCCUCUGAAUUGAACCAACAGCUAUCCUAGGCCUAGUAAGAUGGAAAGGCAGCUAUUUCCCAGAACUUGAAUGAUAUCCCCCUCAAAAAGUAUUUGAGCAACUGUUCUUUUGCAUUAAACUGUCCUCAGCUGAGGUGAGGUGGGUUAUUGUCAUAGUAGUGUGUGUGUGUGUGUGUAUUUUUUUUACCUAAGUUUUUUGAUGUCUCUGAGUUGCCUCUUGCCUCAGCACAUCCUUUGCAGCAGCCCCAGAAAGACUUGUCAGAGCUGGAGGGGACAGAUUCAUUGCUUGCAGGCAAGGGGAAAUGAGGAAAUGCAGGAGUUGUGCUGUAGGAAAAUCUCCCCCUAAACUGCUUUCUCCCAUGUACGAUUGCCUAUGCUGAGCCUAUUCAAGGAGUCUUUGGGAAAUACCUAAGAGGAUUUUUCCUUUCAGAUUAAGUGAUUUCUGGAUGAUUUUACCCACAGCACAUCAGCAGGGGGUGAGUUUAGCUGCACUUUGCCUGCACCAGUGAAAGAGAGGCUCAUUCUUUUGAAAAUCAUCCACUAAAUUAAUGAAGACGUGAAUGUACAUUAGGCUGAACCUAUUUAGCUUAUUAAAGGCUCCUCUCUCAGAUCAUUUCCUUCUGUGUGUCUUUACAUCGCAGGCUCUUCUGUUUGUAAUUUCCAAAGUUAGGGAGGAAAAAAAAAAAGAUUGUAUUUUUUAAGAGGUUAUUCUCAGCUUUCAGCAGUCAGAAACUGUAUGUACAGUAGUCAGCCUGAAAUCCCAUAGGAAGAUGGAAGACCUCGCUGUGCUCAGUUAAUGCAGUAAUGAUGACUGUUGCUCUCUGCUCAAACAUAACUUGAGGUGAGUGCCACGAUUAACAAGGAGUAAGAACCUAAAUGAAAUGUCAAUUUCUGUUUUGUUGUGUUGAAUGAAUUACCAGGACCUUCAUGAUCUGAAACUUUGGCUAGGAUCAUUCUGCUCUCCUGGGGAAAAUAAAAUGUUUGGUCAGUGCCAGUUCCUUUGACUCCCAUUGUUUUCACUGGCUUUGGGAACAGAUCCUUAUUUUUGCUUUAAUUCUCUUUUUCACCCUUAUAGCUAAUGAAUAGAGUGAUGCAAGAAAUCUGCAAGGCAGUAUUGAAGGGAUGCUGCACUGAAGGAAAACAAGGAAGCUACUAAGAUUACAAGAAACUCAUUUUUUGAGGAUGGAAUGGGAAAAUAUUCUAUGAGAAUGUUGUCUUUGUGAAAGCUAAUUUGAGUGAUCUGGGUAUGGGAAGCUGAGGGUGGGGAGGUAGCGUGGGCCAUGAGUGCUCUUUUUCUUCACCUAUCUAUAGAUACUCACCUUUUCUGCUGCUACAGGGCUGAGAUUCCCAAGUACUUUCAUCAAGAUUUUGUGCUGCUCAAACCUAUUGCUCUGGUCAGAAAGACAAUGGCUCCUUCACUGCAGAGCCCAGAACUCCACUUAAGAUAUCAUGAUAUAUCGUUUAUGAAUCUGUAGAUAGCCCAGGAAUUAGGCCCCUUCCAACUGUUCCCAUUGACGUGAUGACAAAGUAUGACGUUCUUUUGCAUUCCUUAAGUACCUGCUGUACAUUUGUUGAGUAGAAUUAAAAAAGAGCUCUCCAGGCCUAUACGUGAUGAUGGGUGUCAAACAGCCUUGCUAGCACCCUGACUACCUGCAGUGUGGAGAAGUGGGAGCCUUCCUAAUUCUGCUCCCAGCUCCUCGCCUGCAGCAGCCCAUAUGGAACAGGAGAGCCAGGAGCUGGGCGCCUACUGCAGCUGCAGAGAAAGGCCUUUGCCUGCUCUGGAUGUCAUCUACAGUAUUUUGUAUUAAGGGAUCUUGCUUUGAUAACUUUUUACUUGUUUUUCCAUUUUUUUUUCUUUUUUUUUUCUCCCCAGCUACACUUCUGUCAAAUCCCAGUUUCCAUAUGAGGGUUUGCACCAAGUUGAGUGAAAGCACUAAGAUAAUCUAUUUGUAACAAAAUACUUUUCCUUUGCUUAAUAAACUUAGUGCUUCCCUGUAAAAACAAGCUCUUUAAUUACUCAGGUGUGGCUACUCACCGUAUUAAAUCACCACACUACCUCCUUAGCGUAGUAAUACAGUUCUUUACAAUUUCAUUUUAGAAUCACUCUUCUGUUGCUGACAUUUAAUUUUGCACAGGAGUAACACUAUCGUAAAAGAGCCCAGGUGCAAAAAUAUUAUGUUUUUAGCAUUGAUGUACUGUGCAUUACUAUUAAAAACUAGAAAAACUAUCAGUGCUGCUCCAUAUCAACUGGGAUUACUUAGCUUAAAUGUUUAAGAGGAACCAUUUAAGAGCUCUGUUGCAGUACAGGUGUCUGUGCACCUCUUCUACACCUGGCCAUUUGAUGAUACACUUUCAUAUGUGAGAUUUCAAACUUUCUCACAGGUAAAUAUAUAUUUUUUAAUGUUUCUGCUCAAAGUUGCAAACAAAGUUUUUUCAGUAGGGAAGAGGAAGAAUGAGUUGCAUGUUGAGUGAAUGCUAUUUUGUCAGGUUUGUAUCCAUAGUUUUUGGAUGAUGUUUUGGCUUCC